UACGUAGGGUGCAAGCGUUGUCCGGAAUUACUGGGCGUAAAGGGCGCGUAGGCGGCCUGCUAAGUCGAACGUGAAAUCCCUGGGCUCAACCCAGGAACUGCGUCCGAUACUGGUUGGCUUGAAUCCGGGAGAGGGAUGCGGAAUUCCAGGUGUAGCGGUGAAAUGCGUAGAUAUCUGAAGGAACACCGGUGGCGAAGGCGGCAUCCUGGACCGGCAUUGACGCUGAGGCGCGAAAGCCAGGGGAGCAAACGGG
rnacentral:rRNA from 1 species